CACCUCGCUCUUCAUCUGACAGCAACCCACAGAAAUCACUCACAAAUCAGCACAAAGAGCCUUGAAAAUGAAUUUAUUGCACGUUUUUGCAGCUGAGCCAGGAUGCAGAGCAGCCCGAGCCUCUCCUGCAGCCCUGCACAGCCAGGGCUCACCUGCCAGGGGCCGCUAAUUGAGCAGUUAAUUGGGCAGUAAUUAAUGCUGGGGGUUAGAAACAAACAGUUCUGUGAAUUAGGGCUGAGCUGGAGGAGCAGGGCUGGGUCGAGCCUUCUGCUCACACUGCAGCUCCCAGCCCAGCCGGGCCAGGCCUGCUCUAACUCUGCAGUUAGGCCUGGUUUCAUUUUAAAUCCUCAUUUAAGGCCUGGUUUCAUUUUAAAUCCUCAUUUAAGGCCUGGUCAUUUGAGGCCUGGUUUAACUCCUGAUUUUAGGCCUCAUUUAAGGACUGGUUUAACUUCCACUCCUGGUUUAAGUCCUGAUUUUAGGCCUGAUUUAAAGACUGGUUUAAUUUAAACUCUUGAUUUAAUGCCUGGUUUAUCUAUUGAUUUAUCUCCUGGUUUAAGUCUGGACUUUAGGCCUGAUUUAACUCCUGGUUUAACACGUGGUUUAUCUCCUGGUUUAAGGCUUGAUUUAUUUCCUGGUUUAACGCCUGAUUUAACUCUUGCUUUAAGGCCUGGUUUAAUUUUAACUCCGGGUUUAAGGCCUGGUAUGAGGGCUGGUUUAAGGCUUGGUCUGGGCAGCUGGCAGAGCCCUGGGGCUGGACUGGGGUGGGAUGGCAGCUCCCAGGGUGGGAGGGCUGCAGCUCCUGCAUUUCCUGCAGCCCCUGCAUUUCCUGCAGCCCCUGCAUUUCCUGCAGCCCCUGCAUUUCUUGCAGCCCCUGCAUUUCCUGCAGCCCCUGCAUUUCCUGCAGCCCCCAGAGCCCCUGCAGCCCCCAGAGCCCCUGCAGCCCCCAGAGCCCCUGCAGCCCCCAGAGCCCCUGCAGCCCCAGCCCCUCACAGGGUGGGCAGGGAAGGUUCCCCCUCCCCAGCAGCUGGAGCAGGACAGUCCCUGCACAUUCCCUGAUGCCCAAUCCCAGCAGCUCUCCCACCCCUGCCAGGGCACACCCAGGGAUGGGAGAGCAGGGCCAGCCUGGCCUUGGCACCAGGGGCAAAGCUGGGCAAAGAGGGGGUGAGGCUGCCCUGGGCCAGCCUGAGCCCAGCUGGGAGGGCUGAGGGAUGGGAUGGGGAUGGGAUGGAGAUGGGAAUGGGGCUGGGAUGGGGAUGGAAAUGGGGCUGGGCUAAGGCGGGGAUGGGAUGGGAUGGGAUGGGAUGGGAUGGGAUGGGAUGGGAUGGGAUGGGGAUAGGGCUGGAAAUGGGGAUGGGGAUGGGAUAAGAUAAAGGCUGAGAUAAGGCUGAGAUAAGGCUGGGAUGGGGCUGGGAUGGGAACUGGGGCUCGUUCCAGAGCUGCCCUCUCCUGGCUCGAGGCUCCUGCCCAGCCCAGGGCUGAGGGGGCUCAGGCCGGGCUCAAAGCCCAGCCCAGGGGACAGAAGCAGCCUGGCUGCCCUGCACACCCAGGGACUGGGGCUGCUGGGGACAGGGAGGGACAUGGCUGGGGACAGGUGACAGGGACAAUCCCAGCUCCUGCUCAGCCCCUUGGAGAGGGAACUGCCCUGGGCAUGGGAGACCACGAGGAAAAGGGAGGAAAAGGGAGGAAAAGGGAGCUGGGUCCAGCUGUGCCUCUGCAGCCACCCCUUAAUUAAUGAGCUAAUUAAGCAUGCUCACACAGAACCACUGACGUUGGACAAAACCUUUAAAGCCACCAAAUCCAACCACUGCCACACUCAGCCUUGUGUCCCCAAGUGCCACCCGACCCAGGACACACAGGAGCUCUGAGCUUCACCAUUGAACAACGCUUUGUUUUUUUUUAGUUUUUUCCUUUUUUAAAGAAUUCCCAUGAGGGGAGGGGGGUCGGGGUCAGUAGUGUGAGUGCAGUGGAGGGGUGGCAGUGUCCCCAGGCUGUCCCCAGGUCACUGCAUGUAGGCGUAGCGCCAGUCCCCCAGCGGCACGUGCGUCUCCUUGAUGGC
ensembl:lncRNA